rnacentral:rRNA from 1 species
UACGGGGGGGCAAGCGUUGUUCGGAAUUACUGGGCGUAAAGGGCGCGUAGGCGGCUUUUCAAGUCGGGCGUGAAAGCUCCGGGCUUAACCCGGAAAUGUCGCUCGAUACUGUUGAGCUAGAGUGUGGAAGAGGCUACUGGAAUUCCGUGUGAUAGCGGUGAAAUGCGUAGAUAUACGGAGGACACCAGCGGCGAAGGCGGGAUGAGCUGGGCCAACACUGACGCUGAGGAGCGAAAGCCAGGGAGCAAACGGG